rnacentral:misc_RNA from 1 species
UAAAUAAGUGUGUUUUAUGGCACUUUUUAAAUCCAUAUCCACCUUGUGUGCACAAUGUCCAGUCGAUCUUUCCUUCCAUGGAGGAGAUGACCAAAACACAUCAACCUUUAUCUUUUAACCCUUUGUCUGAAAAAUAUUAUGAAUAUAACAAUUCAAAUA